AAGUCGGUAAUUCUUAAACUCAUCUAUGGUGGGGUAGAGGGGAGCAUUACAAGGAAAAAGGCGUUUUGAUUCUUUCAAAAAUAACAUCCAAAGAAGUCCUCUUAAAGUCUCGAUACCAAGAUUGAUGUUAUUACAAACAACAAGAGACCAUAAAUAAUCUUCUGUUUCACAGUUUUGUGGACUUACCGUGUUACUAGAAGCUUUGCUCCACCCUGGUGGUUUCUUACCCUAAGUCGGGAACAUUUUGUGCUGUGUUUCCCUUACCGGCAGCGUCGUGCGGGCACCAGUCCCCACACGUGUGCAUAUAGACGCCUGCUUUUAACUCACACACUGCCAACGCUCCUAGUACGUGUGCUUUAUCCUGAUUUUCACGUUAAGACCCCUAUCUUUUGCUCCUGGAAUUAAUUUUAUCAAUGACACAGAAAAUGGUUGUGUUAAUACUUGCCUGCGCUGUGGCCUCGGAGCUGGGAUGUGCCCCAGGAUUCUGAUAACGGCUUGAGCCAGCUUGAAUUAGCUUGGUGUAUCAUUAAUGCAUACAAAUGGCUUUUAUUUUUGUUCAUAAUCUGUUCACGAUGCCACGGGAUUCUGCUCUUCCUAAUGUUUUUAAAAUGACGAAACGGUGAUGUACUUUUUGACCUAUUUAACCCUCUGCCGCCUCUGAUCAAAAGAAUACAAAAAUAUUACUUAAAAAGCAUAGUCGGAAAUUGUUCUGCUUCGUAGCUGGUGUUUCCAACUUAUUUUGAAGUCUUCUGUUAAUUUUUUUUCUUCUUUCUUUCUUUCUAUGUUUUUACUUCACAUCGAAGCUAGUUAGCGUGUAGUGCAAUAAAGAUUUCAGGAGUAGUAGAUACCAGUGACUCAUCCCCUUGUAUGACACCCAGUGCUCAUCCCAACAAGUGUCUUCCUUGAUGCCCCGCCCCCAUUUGGCCCACCCCCCCACCCCCAACCCCUCCAGCAACCCUCAGUUUGUUCUCUGUAUUUGAGUCUCUUAGGUUUUGUCCCCCUCCCUCUUUUUAUAUUAUUUUUGCUCCCCUUCCCUUAUGUUCUUCUUCUGUUUUGUCUCUUAAAAUCCACAUGUGAGUGAAGUCAUAUGAUAUUUGUUUUUCUCUGACUGUGGAGUCUGGUUUAUUUUACAACAUUAUUUCCCCCUAGAGAAUACGGACAUAGCCAGAUUCUGAGUAGCCUCCAUUCACUGAGGAAUUGUCCGCUAAUGACUGGAUUAGCAGCCCCAAUAUGUUGUGUUCAUGAGAGAGAAGGAAGAGGAAUCCUCCAGGGAGGAAAGUUGUGAAAGUCUUUGACACUGGAAGGCGUAGCUUUACUCCAUGGGCGCUGAUACCUGUGCAUACUCCUGAGCUGGGCGGGGGAGGGUGCUGGUCAGUGUCACCUCCAAGAGUGCCCGGGGGUCCAACUCGGAGCAGGUGCCGGGCCUCCCCCGAGGCAGGCCUGGGGUCUGCGGUUGGCCCGUGUGGUUCACGCAGCGUCACUGCAGACUUUGUGAAGAGAAGAGGGCACACCGGCAGGUGUAUGGAAUCUCCCGGGCUUCAGGGAGAAGUCCGCCGUGCGGAGCGGGUUGAAGCCGUGUUUGUGUGAAGAAAAAUAGGCUAAAAGCUUUGAUGACUAAGUUGGAUUUGUGCGAUUUGCUAAAGACGAGGUUUUUAAAGAAUAUGCGAUACGGAAGUAAAGACCGCCCCCAACGCCACCGCCCGGGGGCUGUCGUUGUUACGGGGUGGGGUGUGUGGCCGCGUGCAUGCCCGAGUGUUCUGAGAAAGUGGGUUAUCGGGCCUCGCGACGUUGGAGAACCUGCUUGAUUACAUCCGUACUUUUUCUACAGUAGUUUUCUCAUUAUUCCAUUGCAUUCCAUUAAGUGAAUACAACUACUUUUUUGGUCCAAUCGCCUGGUAGGUAUUUGGUUGUCCCCCCUCCCCAUUUAUGUAUUUGAUUCAGGUUUAGGGCCUCGGUGGAGGGCUCUCUGUUUAAGUCUUUGUCUCCAUCCUUAAUCCUUUCUUUAAGAGACCGCUCUGGAGGGGAGACUGCCGGCUCAGUGGCCCGCGUGGCCUUAUGGCUUUCGGUCCUCACUGUCCCCAAAUCGUCCAGGGAGUCGUCCCCGCUCAGGCCUCCUUUUUCUGUACCCUGGCCACACUGGGUAUUUUCUGUUUAGAAACGUUCAUCAUUUAUAGAUAGAAAAGAAUCAUAGUGGUAUUUUUUUUUUUUUUUUUUAUUCUUCAAAAUACUGUUUUUACUAGGUUUGUCUCUCAGUGUAAAAAGCAGCUCCUUUUUGGCAGGCAGGAGUUUGGUCAAGAGAUGGGGCUCGGAGGUCUGGCGUGGCAGGUGACACGUGGGAGCAGAUGGGCCUCGCUGCUCUUGAAGACGUGGCCUCGGUGCUUCCGGGGGGUUCUCUGCGGCUGGAGCGGCGCAGAGACCUCCCCCGAUUCCGUGUGUGGCCGCGAUGUCGGAGCUGGGGUUCCCUCCCCCGUCCGGCCCUUCUGGCCCCGCAGUGUUACCUGUGCGCUGCCGCGUGUCCCCUCCGAGACAGACGCCCGCAGCGGGGUGCCUUCUGAGGGAAGUGGAGAAAACCCUUCCCGGAGCUUCGUGUCGUGUCAGUGCCCCGGGGGGUUUGAGGGGCCCCGGAAACCCAGCCUCGUUUCCACCCAGGACAGUUCCCGAGAAGGGCCACGCCCGCCCCGGUCCCGGGACAGGUCCGCCGUGCCUGCAGCCGGAGCGCGGGUGCACUGCCCCCGGGGGUCGUCCUUCUGCAGUGGCGGCCGGGGACCCCCUCUGGACCAGUUCCCCGAACCCUUGAAGCACAUGUCCCCGCUGGCGAACCUGAAGAUCUUACCUCAUCGUUUUACGUUAGAUGUGUCAAAAUCUGGGAAGAAGACCAUUUCAUCCUUGCACUUUCUGCAAACGAAAGCAGAAACGUGCAUCCUUUUUCCUCCGUCACAUCCUGAGUCGGCUCGCCGGCACCGGCGUCAGUAACUCGAGCACGUGGUGGUGGCCUUACCUUUCAAGGCUGCCGUUCAGAUGCCACCCACUUUCAGCCACCAUCGUACGCUGGUCCCUGCCUUGGGCCCGCGAGCAAACAGCAGCCCCAUCUGACAGAAAAGGGAGCCGUCUGGGGGAUCGUCUGGCCAGCUGUCGCAUGGUCAGGCCUGGCGCCGUGAGGAGAGCUGGGCGAUGGCACCUUGAGCUUCUCUGUCCCAGUCCCCGCACCGUCAGGUGGCGCCCCCCUGAGGCGCUCUGCAGUUCUUUCCCUCGUACACGUGCCUGCCUGCAGGGGGCGCUGUGUUCCGUCUUCCCACAGCUGUCCUCCUGCAGUCCAAGGGUUUUUUUGGUCUGAGUUUUGGAAUUUCAGGAAGCUCCCUCACAUUUUACUUCGUGUGUAAGCCGUAAGAAAAAAAUACUCAACACUGACACGGUCAUCUGGAUGCUAGAAAUACUCCUGUACCUGGGCCAAAAUUUUGUUAUCAAAUGCAGCACCAAGGCGCCUUUUGCAUUUAAAUUCAUCUCUUGCCUGAACUGCACACUGGUAGGGUAUCAUGUCUGGAAGGACGUGAGAGCCUGGCUAGCCUGGCCCUUCACUUUGCAGAUGAGCAGGCAGGGCCCGCGAGGCCAUCCUGCCAGAGAGCACCGUCAGAAACUAGAGACUAGGUGUGUCUGUCUCAGCCACGUGGUCUUACCUUUGUUCUGGAAAUGUUAAAGGCCACAGAUUACAUUUUUUUAAGGUUUAUUUAUUUUGAGAGAGAGUGAGUGAGUGGGGAGAGGCAGGAAGAGAGAGAGAGAGAGAGAGAGAGAGAGAGAGAGAGAGAGAAUCCCAAACCAACUCUGCCCUGUCAGAGGAGAGCCUGACAUGGGGCUCAAUCCCACGAACCAUGAGAUCAUGACCCGAACUUAAACCAAGAGUCAGACACUUAAACGACUGAGCCACCCAGGUGCCCCCGCAGAUUACAUUUUAAAACCUGGAAGUGAAUGAAGACGCUCCUUUAGUUAUUUUAAAUAAAAUUGAGCCACAUCCCCACUGGGGAAUUUGGGGUUACAUGUGCCACUGUAAUCAACAUAUGAAUUAUUUGCGAUAAGCUGUGUGAUAAAAGUUCAUCUGCACAUACUGUCUUCACGUAAUAGAAUAUGUGGGUAAUAGAACGUUGGAUCUAUAAAGAGGUCUCUGAGACUCAAUGAAAAUAUGGCAGAAAGGAAAUGUUUGCUUUCAAGUACUUGAUUUUGUAAUUUAGUGACAUGCCACCAGGGGGCAUCAAAAGAGCUCGUAAGGAUGGUUCUCGCUGGCAUAUUUUUCCCCUUUGCUGUCACUGUGGAGAAUACAGACAUAAUAAAACUAACACAGUGGUUUAAGAGAUCAUUUAGGCCUGUAAUAAGAUACAGUCCAUAAAGCGUGUGAAGUUACUGGAUCAGCAGUACAGGAAUACAGAAGUAAAGUUUCAUUCAUUGGGAUGGGGAGGAGGACAAAAUAAAGAUGAAAUGAUAUAUUCUGUGGUUAAAGGGACCCAAAUCCCUUCUUGGUUUUUUGUUUUUGGAUUUUUUUUUUUUUGCCUUGUAUGUAACUUAAGACUUCGAAGAAAAUUUGUCAAAAGAUGUGUACUUUUUUUUACUAGAGUAUAAUAAACAUUUAUUAUUUAGUCUGUCAUAUUAUUUUUUAAAUGUUUUUAUUUAUUUAUUUUUGAGACAGAGACAGAGCAUGAGCAGGGGAGGGACAGAGAGAGAGGGAGACACAGAAUCCGAAGCAGGCUCCAGGCUCCGAGCUGUCAGCACAGAGCCCGACGCGGGGCUUGAACUCACGAGCUGCGAGAUCAUGACCUGAGCCAAAGUCGGUCGCCUAGCCGACUGAGCCACCCAGGCGCCCCUGGUCUGUCAUACUCUUAAUGGAACUCCCCAAGAGUUCUUUUGGCCUGAUGGCAGCCCGGAUGUCCCACUCUAGGGUCUGCGUCCUUUGUCCAACACCAGGUCUGAGCAGGUGGCCAUGCAGGUCUGGGGUGAGGCCACUGCCCUCGGUCUCUCCGCUCGGCUCUUGCCUCCCCCCUGCGUGGGACGCCGUGGGUUCUCCAUGGGCCGGUAUUCCUGGACAGGGGGAAGGGAGUCAAUCGGUUUUGGGAAAUGUAGAUACUCGUGUGGAAGUGAGGCGAGGUGUGGUGAGGAGUGGCUAUGAUCCCUGAAGGAGUUGAGGGCCCUUCAGAGAGCUCCCACUUGCUGCUUCUCCGUGCGCCCUGCAGUGGGCUGGGCACGUAGAAGAGCCUCACUUUUGGGGUUCAGGGUUUUCUUCUUUCCUUCCUCUACUUUCCCAAGGUCGAGGGCUUCUCACUGCUGUUUUCCUCUCGUUUACUUUUUUUGGCUUUUACCCUUUAUUUUCUCCCACUACAUAAAUUCCAUUAGAAAUUGUAGCAGCUCAGCUCAUGACUUUUUUUUCAAAGAUUUUUAAAAAACAUUUAAGAGGGGGAGGGCAGAGAGAGAGGGAGAGAGAGAACCCCAAGCAGGUGCCGUGCUGUCAGCACAGAGCCCCAUGUGGGGUUCGAUCUCAUGAACCAAGAGAUCACGACCUGAGCCAAAAUCGGGAGUCGGACACUUAACUGCCUGAGCCACCCAGGUGCCCCUUUAGAUUUUAUUUACGUAAUCGCUGUGCCCCACGUGGGGCUCCAACUCACAACUCGUAGAUCAAGAGUCCCGCACUACCAUCUGAGCCUCAGCUCAUGACAUUUUCAAUUUCUUUACGUGGUCAGUGGGACUUCCUCCCCUUUUUGCUACGUCAGAUGAGAAACCUGUCAAAUCACAGGCUAUUCUAUACAGAUGGCGUCUUUUAUCAGAUUACUUACGAACUGAGUGUUUAGAAUUUAUAAGGAAGUAAAUAUAACUCCCAGAGCUCUACAGGCCAGUCCCCGGCGUGGGGUAAACACAGCCGGACACUGAGCAACAGGAGAAGUAAGAUAGCACAGGGAAAUUUCUGCUGUGGGACAGCAGGUUUCACAGUCUAGUCUUUCAGCGCCGUGGAAGGGUGUUGUACCAGCCCCUGAAAGACGAGAAUUUGGGGGAAGGGGCUGUGUAGGCGGAGCCCUGGCCCAGGCUCUAGAUGCUUCUUCCGCUGCAUUUAGUAAAGUCUGCAUUCAUCCAUUUGCAAGGCACUGAGGCGGGUGCCCGGGACCCGCAGGAAAUGAGCACGGCUCUGAAGCCAGACGCUUGUUGGGGUGGGAUCGUUCUUCACCAGAGCUGCGUGAUGGAGUUUUUUAGGGAGCAAGGAAAUCCUGCUGCAGAAGUACAUUGAGCUCCUAAACAAUCCCUGAUGAUAGACCUCCGCACGUAGCCCAGCCAGUGCGGCCACUGAGAAGAGCCGUGAGUGCAAAUCCCCGUCACAUCCUAAACGGACAACCCCGGAUCUUUUCCCGGGGGCUCCCCUUCCUCGGGUUCUUUGUCCUGCGUGCGUGCCGUCAGCCUGUGCCUGAGGGCUGGCGUUAGGGGCCUGGUGGCGGGCAUGACGCCUGCUUUUGUUUGCUACUCUCUGUCCUCGACAGGCUCUGCCCCCCAAAGAUUCUUAAAGAAAUGCAAACAGGUAGUCCGUCCAGCUCACACUGUUGUGCAGUCUGAAGACGAUCGGGAAGCCCUUGGAGACGUGAAGUGAUGUGCAGAGGGAAUCUUCUGGGUAACCCGCAGCUAACUUAAUUGCUAUGAAAUACGAUGGCUCACGUAAGGAGGGACCGUUGGAAAAAGGCCAUCAAAUGCAUAAGGACCGCGAGGACCGCUCCAUGUGCCACUGCCGUGUGUUCCUGCUCAGCAUUCCUCCCUCAACUUGUGUGUUACCAGCAUGGAUUUUCCAAUCCAGAGACAGAAGGCUGGUCUUGAGACCCACCUUCCAAGACCUGUUCCGUAAAGAAUUCUUGGGUGCCUGCCGGCUGGCAGAAAUGCCCACUUGCGGCUGAGAACGUCUUCGACUCUUACCUUUUAGAUCCCGGGUGCGGUCAGCUGUGACGUCCUGCCCGGAGCACCGGGUGCAGAGGGACGCGCUCCCGCAUAGGCGUCUGUAUCUCCCCGCUGUGUGUGCACGGGGCCCCCUCUCCCGCGUCCUGGGUCAUUGCCCUGCGGCCACAAACCGGCCUCCAGAUAGUCGUUGCCACCAGAAGUCACUGGCCCGAAAACCUGGGAGUCUCUCUCUUUGCACCGUAUAUUUCUUAUGGGAAAUAAAGGAACUGGUAUCGUUAAAUAUACAUGAGACAAAAAUUACAAAGGACCGGAUAGGCCCUUUUUGUCCCCCUCCACUUUCUGGCAAAUCAACAGAACUAGGACAGAUUCUGCAAAGAUCCAUUUCUAAAUCUCAUGUAUCCAUGUAGCCAAAUAUAAACUCAAAAGAUUCAAAUAAAACAGAGGCUCAAAUUGAAGGGCAAGUCUUAGAACACUCAGCAUCGUUUCGUAAUUUUGUUAAAACUGCUCAGAGGGGCUCCUGGGUGGCUCGGUCAGUUAAGCGUUUUGGCUCAGGUCAUGAUCUCAGCAGUUCGUGGGUUCAAGCCCCACAUUGGGCUCUGCGCUCUCAGCUUGGGAUCUCUCUCUCUUUCUCUGCCCCUCCCCGGCUUGCUCGCGUGCUUGCUCUCAAAAGAAAAAAACAAAAAAUACAUAUAGACUAAAAAAACAAACAAAAAAACUACUUAGGAAAGCUGGUAGAUUUGAGUAAAAAACAAAACAAAACAGAAUGGCUUUGGUGGGUCAUUGGUCCACGUGAGGGUACUAAGUGUCGAAGUCACAGACUCCAGGGCCCAAGGGUAUCUGAGCCACGGCCUGAGACGUGUGGUGGUGAGCCCCUGCUGGUCCCCCCCCAGACAGCCACAGCCUCACCCCUGCAGCCCGUGAACAGUGCCUUAUGGCAGAAUCAAGGCAUUUGCAGAUGUGGUUAAAGAUCUUCAGACGAGGGGCCGGGCCCUGAGCCACAACCACGUGGCUGGUAAGAGGGAGCAGAGUCGUGGCCGCACACGGGGAGAGGACAACACCCGGGUAGAGACGUGAAGGUUGGGGCGACGCGGCCACACGCCAGGGCUCGCCGGCGACCCCCAGAACCUGGGUGAGGCAGGCGGCGGAUUGUCCCCUGGAGCUUCCGGGGCCAGCACGGCCCUGCCGGCACCUGGCUCAGCCAGUGAUACAGAUUGGGACUCAGCCCCCAGAACCGGGCCAGGCCAUUUCUGCUGUGUUGUGCCCCGGUCUGUGGGACCUUGUUAGGGAGGCCCCGGGAAGCUGCUGCAGAUGGGGUACCAUCAUCUAGUUCCCACCCCUCGUGAGAGCGGAGAGCUCUGUGAUUCCUGCUCCCCACUCCUCCCCUCUCCCCCCACAUCUCACCCUCCUCGUCAGCGACCCUUCUUCCUGGAUCCGGGAGCCACAGUCAGUCCUCAUCCUGCCCUCCCCUGGCGGCCUUGACCCACACGCACCCUUUCGUCCUGUCACACCGGCUCCCCAUCCCUGUUCUUGUGUUGUAACUCCCAGGGCAGCCGCGCUCUCUCCUCUGUGGGUUUUUGUUUUUUUUUUUUUUCUUCUGCACAGCCUUUCAGUGAUGAACCUCACAGAGACCUGGUCCCAGGCCACCACGUGUCUGUCCACACUGGUCACCGAAUCCAGAUCCGUUUCCGUGACAUGUUAUGGGCAAGAAACUAUGGCAGGUGCUUCUGCCGUGCAGCAGCGAGAAACUGGGGGGUCAGGCUGACCGCCCCCAGCAGGGAUUUGCUGGGUGCCGUGUGUGGAUGUGAGCCUGCUCGUACGAGACGCUGGAGCCCUGUCCGGUGCCCAGAGGUGCUGAGGUGCGUAACCUCAGGUCCGCACGGCCCCGACCAGCUGGAGCGGAGACUGGCCGUACCCUGCCCGUCGGCCUCACCAGCGCCCAGCAGCUGGGUCUCUGCCCCAACUAGUCUUUCCAGAACAGAGAAAAACAUGUCGACAGGAAUGCUGCUGCUGUGGGAGGCUGUGGGGACCGUUAGGAAAACACCUGAGUGGGAGUCUGAACACUUUCUCCUUUUUGCUUUGUUGUGUUUUUUGUUUUGCCGUUCCGGCCUUUUCUGUUCCGAAACGAGCACCAGAGAAAAUGAAACCUGUAUCCGAGGUUUCAAAGACAAACCACAAAGCUCGGAUGGAAGUAUUCAGCCGUUGUGUUUGGAACUCGGUCGAAGUAAAUGAAGAUGCUGAAACCCAGAUGUUUCCGGUAACUUUGCCAAUAACCAGAGAGGCCGAGCCGGUGCUGAUGACGUGACACGCUGAGAAACUUCAGCUUCUGUUGACAAACUUCCUGUUUAAUUCCGUAAAGACAGCUGCUACGGAAUAUCCGCUCGCCCACAGGCGUGUGAAUUCAGAUUAUUGAGUCACAAUCUCGUUUUCUUGCCGAGUCAGUCACCAAGGAAGCGUCACUCCCGGAUGCCCACGGAUAAACGCAGGGCAGCAGGCCGAGCUGGGCUCCGUCUUUAUCUUCUCGGUCUGCACGAUGAUUCAGCUGCUCCCCUCAGUUUACCCAGCUGUGAAAUGGGUAGGUCUUCCGUUUAUUACUUCUUGGGAUGCCUGUAACAACCGAAACACAGCUGUCACGUGCUUGGAGGGCUCGGAAGGAAAACACCCGCCUAUUAUGAAGUAACGGAAAGCCUGGAAAGGUGGCGUGAUUCUGAGCAAAAGCACACGUUCACCGUAGGAUCCAUCCACUCUACGUAGACUCCUUCCCGAGGGAGGCCAGUCUGGCUCGGCCCUAAGGGAGAGUGCCCUUCUGGGCCUUUCCCUCCUCACCUGUCCAGAUGUAGGGCAAAACACUGAACUUUUUUGUAACCAGCUCUUCCCCUUGUGUUCUGGAAGCAGGUUAACAGCAUAAGCUCUCACCCUUCUAAGUAAGAUGGACUGACGCCUUCAAAACUGUUAUCCGGACCUGCUCUCCCCUAGCCGUGUUCCUCGAGAUGGUCGGUUACUCAUUAACUGAGCAGUGACGCUGGUUUCCUUUCUUGUUUUGGCACCUAAAAAAUGUCUCUCUUGACAAAAUUACCAAAAUUCAUCAGAGAGGGAUUCCCCCCCCCCCCCGCCCCUGCUUAAAGGUAAAUACCUUCUUACCUGCUGUCACUUCCACCCAGUUCUUUUCCUGGGGUCCUUUGCACAAAUACCCGGCAUUGACAACACUUACAAGUUACCACUGAACAAAAGCUAAAUUCUUUAGUCUUGCUCACACUGAUAGAUGGUCAGAUGGUCCUGCAAUUAAAUAUCCAGACCCAUGAACUUACUGUAUUUUUUAAAAAUUUUUUUCAGCGUUUAUUUUUGAGAGAGAGAGAGAAUGCAAGCCAGGGAGGGGCAGAGAGAGAGAGAGAGAGAGAGACACGGAAUCCGAAGCAGGCUUCAGGCUCUGAGCUGUCAGCCCAGAGCCUGAGGAGGGGCUCGAACUCCUACGCCAUGAGAUCAUCACCUGAGCCGAAGUCGGACGUUUAACGGACUGAGCCACCCAGGUGCCCCCACGAACCUAGUAUAUUAAGGCUUGAAAAGAAAAUUCAAAUAAUAGGUAGCUUUUCUCUGGGAAGGACACACGUUUCCCCCCACCCCCACCCCAGCCCCAGAAUGUGGGAUCCACCUGAUUUAGGAACCCCCGUCUGGCAAGUGCAGAGAACAGAAACGACCUUGCUAGGAAUCUGGUGUUUGUUAUCUCCCUUCUCUGGGUGAGGGGACAGGAGUGUCUACGGAGGAUGGGCCGGGCCUAGACGGCGCACCUGGGGCUGCCGAGACGUGGGCGCUGCCCCUCCGGCCACUCCAGCACCCCCGUCCAGUCCGCGCGCAGCCUCGGGCGUCCCACGUAGGCCAGUGGGAACACAAGAAUAAAAACUCGGAACCUUCGAGUGUGCGGCCUAAGAACUGCUGAUAGGGAAGCGAUCACUGAUUGAGAAAUGAAGCGUUUAAAAUGGAAAUAACGCCAGGGCUCUGAAGUAGGGCCCGGUUUAAGUGCAGUAAUUACAAUAGUUGCUAGGCGGCUCCCACUUACCGCCGCCACAGCAGGCCGCCUUUAUCUUUAUGGCGGGGCUUUGAUUCCAAUCAGAGCUUUCGAAUGAGCGGAUUCUGGUGUUUUCAGUCAAGUUGCAGAGUAGGAAACAGAUGCAGCCCUAUAGUAAUUAGAACCGUUUCUCAUCCCGGGAAAGGGAAUGAGAAUGAGAAAGAGAGAUGUGCACGCCGUGGGGGGGGGACGUGCCAGCCAGGUGACCCGAGUGGUGGCAUCAUCCCGCUGUAUCCUUUCACCCGUGUCUCCUGGCCGGUGUCUGGGCCACAGCACCCCGAGGAGGCCGCAGUUUACGUGUGACGGUGUCAACCUGGGAAAAUUCGGAGCCGCCUCCUUCUGAGAGCCCAGUUUGUUUUCUUGUGGAAGGGGUUCCCUCGGCUAAAAGUCUGGGGAAGGUUGAGGGGCGGUUCGAGUAGCCGUGGUCUUGGGUUAGUGCUGGUGGUGGUGGAGGACGGACCGGCGAUGCACGGUGACCCCGCGCAAAUCUGCCCGGUCCCAGCUGUCUUCGCCCACCGCCGGGCACAGAGCUGUUACCUGGAGGGUCACCCUCCGUGGGAGGAGACCUGCAUUGAUAUCACCCUCAUCUGGCGUCCUGACGGCUGAAAUUGACGGUCAUGAAAGCAUUUUAAGCCAACAAAGACACAGUUCUGUUGAGAGAAGGUUGAAGACUGUUCUCUGCAAAUCGUGGAUGUACUCACAUUCUUUCCAUCAGAACAAGAAAACCAACGGCUUCAGGAUCGAUCUUGUCGCAGGACAGGACGGGUCACCACAGAAAGCUCAGCAAAAUGGUACUUCCUCGGCCGUCACCACCUGGGUUUUCCGUCCUCCGAGAGGUUCCCGACGCCUUCGCUUCCUCACCCUCCUCCCGGAGACCAGGGUUCAGAGCCGGUCUACUCUGCUCGCUGUCCGACCCCCUGGCUGCCCUGUGCUGGUCCAGGUUUUCCCUGGGGACCUCAGAGGAUGGAAGAGCCAUGCCUUUGGCCGAAAUUGUACACCUGUGUGAUCAAUCCAAAAUUCAAUCUCCUGGAAGUAUUCCAAGGACAGAGAAAUGUUGGAAACAAAUUUUAGGAAUUCGGGGCAUUUUUUUUUCCUAACGUGGCACUGUCCUGUGCCAUAUAGACGUACAACCUAAUUUAAAGAGUGCCCGUUGAUUCCUUUUGAACUUUUAAAUUUCCUGGUGCCUCAGGUUACUGUAUGUGUCUGCUAAGUCUAGUCCUUAAGUGGUCCUUCUGUGGUAAUCCUUCGGUGCCUUGGAAAAGUAUGGACGAGGGGCGCCUGGGUGGCUCAGUGGGUCAUGAUCUCAAGGUUCCUGGGUUCCAGCCCUGCGUUGGACUCUGUGCUGACAGCACAGAGCCUGGAGCCUGUUUCAGACUCUUGGUCUCCCUUUCUCUCUGCCCCUCCCCUGCUCUCUCGAGCUCUCUC